GCGGGGCGGCGGCGGCGGCGGCGGCGGCGGCGGCGCGGAGCCGGUGGGCGCAGCCGCGCGCCAGGCCGGCGGUCGGGGUUUGGGGGAGUCUGGAGUCGGGAGUGAGGAGUUGAGGAAGGAGCGCUCGAGUUUCCGAGGGACAUUGGAACGCGAAGCUGUCCGUCACGCGCUCAUCUGCAUAUUCGGGCGCCCGCCCCCUCCCCUGCUCCGCCCGCUCCGCCCGCUCCGCCCGCUCCCGCUGCCAGGCCGCGGCCGGGGGAGGGGCGGGGAGGGGAGGGCGGAGGAGGAGGCGGGGGGGGCGGGGGAGGAGGAGGGAGGACGCGCAGGCUUUUGUGGCGCAGCCGCCUCCCGCGCAGCACCAGCCCGCGGCCCGCGGCCCCGCAGCCUGGCCGGGCCGAACAGCUCGCCGCGGUGCGCACCCCCUCCCACUCGCACGUACUCCCAGCGCCCCCCUCCCCAGCCCGCCAGCCGGCAACCCCAUCCCUCCCAAGCCAGCAACCCCUUGCCGCCCCAGUCACCUUCCUCAACGCCCCCCCCCCCCCCAAAGCCACUGCUCCACCCCCCGGUCGGCCCGCAAGGACCAGGCAGAGGCCGCCCGCAAUCGGGCCGGUCUGGUCCACCGGGGGGACGAACUGUACUCGUCCCCUCUGCGCCACGAAGAGGCAGGCCCAGGUGACUGCGCGCGUGACUCCAGGCUCCGGGCCGGGAGCCGGGGGCGAAGGGAGGGCGGGAUGGGAGCGCCCGUGGCCCAGGUCCUCCUGGGGGUGGCGUGCGCGGCUCUCCCUUCCACCUUCCUCCGUCGACUCUGCCUCACCGCGUGUGAGGCUCCCGCGUGGCCUCGAGUCUGGUCGCCUGUCCCGCGCCUCCCAGCGCGUCCCUGCGGGACCCGGAUCCGGGUCCUUGACUGCGAACUGCCAGGAAGGCCCAAAGGUGAGCUUUGUGCCCCGAAGUCCAGAGUGGUAGGACUUUGCGCUGUUGAGAAUGUUCUGACACACGCCGCCAAUGUUGCUCCCGUGAAGAUGCCACCCCGAAAGGUUUUAUUUGAUUUUAUUUUAAUAAGUUGACGCCUCUUUCGGACAAGUGUCGUAAAGCAUUCACGAGAAUGCCUGUCACCGGACAGCCCGCCUCUGGCACGACGUGAAGCCUCGCUGUCCCUUGGGAAGGAAGGAGAAAGAGGCUGCGGGCACGGACGCCAUCAGCAGCACAGGUAGCUCAGAUUAAAGUUGGCUUGGUCUUCCAAAAUAAAUCAAUGGGGAAAACAGGCUGCAAGUGCGGAGGCUCGACGCGGUGGCUCCGCACGCGGCCGCCUGCGAGGGUGGCCUGGCUUGGCUGGAAGUCCGUCUCCGGUGACCGCGGAGAGCGCAGGCCGCGCGAGGAGCGAGCCGCUGCGGCGCGGGCCCCGUGGCCGCCUCUCCGGGACCGCAGGGACUGGGAUGCUCAGCCCACGCGCGACGGGUGUCCAGGCUGGCGGCGCCGCCCAGGCGUGGCAGCCACUUGGCCGCUCUUGUUUUCGGUCGCCGUCCGAGCUGGAACGGCAGAGACCGGUAGGCGCGCAGGAAAACUGGAGAGCUGCUUUGCAAUCGCGAUCACUUUGUGACAAUUACAGGACAACGCGCGGUUUCAGGCUUGCGGUGGGCCCUCCCCUCUCCCCCGUGUGCCUUUGAAAAAGUAAGUUAAUACUGUCACAGUUUUUGUUUCUUGUCCUCACAGUGGCCGAUGCAGGUAGAACGAGCCGGCGUGGACAUGCCCGUUUCAGGGAGCCGGGGAUUCCCGCGAGGCUGAGCGGGGAGAAGUGCGUGGAACGCGGGCUCGGGCCCGAGGGCCUCUCUCCGGAAAGCGGCUGGCUGCGCAGGCCGAGGCGCCUCGAAGACACGGACAGUGUUUGGAAGAACUUAGCUCACCUUCCUCCUCGCCCCUGCGGCAGCUGCUCCCGGCUUUGUCACCGCUGUAACAACGGAGCGCACCUCCGUGGCGUCCGCGGCGGCGCGUGCGGCGGGGAGCGCGCCCACGACAGUGCGGAGCCCGCGGGAGUCACCUCCGGGCGGGCGGGAGCAGGUCGGACUCCGCUCGCAAGAAUACACUGGCGAAGGAAGAUUUUCUGCAGUCUUUUGACCAUUACUUUUAGCCGACAAGAGAAGCUCUGGAGAGCAUUUGUCCGGGGCCGUGUUGCAGAUCUCUUGGCCAAUCUUACUUCGGUGUGUACCCCCAAACAGCUCGACCAGACCGCUAACUGGGGGGGCACAUGGCACGCGCAAUGGCGUGCCUGUCCCCUACCAAACGCUCUCGCAGGCCACGACACACCUGGCAUUGCUUAGGUAGGGAAGGGAGGAGGGUUUUGUUUGGUUUGGUUUUCCCUUUUCAAAAACCGGAGAGAAUGAAGAAGCGUCAAUUUGACAAAUUGCGUUAAAAGUAAAAACAAAAACAACUUCAGUUGGACAGCAUGUAAAUGGCUGACACCCACCAGGGAGAAGAUAUCUGAAGCACCUGUAAAUAUGGGAAACACUGCUAUACAGAAUCAGGAAGAAUUCUGACAGUCAGUGGGUGAAGACGAGCCAUUCGGUGGGAAAAUGGGCCGGAGAUAGGAACAGACUCUGCACAGAGAAGAUCCGAAAAAGCGCAAAGAUGCCCCAGCUGCCUAGAGAUGGGGAGGUCAGACAGUGGAGCAGAUGGGACUUUCCAUCCACUGGAUGACACCAAACUAGGCCCAGAGGAUGCAGACAGGGAGCACUCCCUCAUUGAUGUGCUAGUUGGAAUUACUGCAAAGAAACUAGGGAGAUAUUUGGCAGCAUCUGGGAGAGCAGGAGAUGCCCACUCCGUCUCAACUGCAAUCCCUUGCUUCCCUCUCCACCACAGAGAGAAUCUCCAGGAGGCCCUGCGGCAUUGUUUGCAAAGUGCAAGACUAGAAACCCCAAAUCGCAAUCAGUACAGGCCCGGAUAAAGAAUUUGUGGCAUAUUUCACGGAAUAGAAUGGUCCCCAGGGAUGAAUGUGAAUGAAGGUAGUUCUCCUUGUAUCAACAUGAAUAAGUCCUGAAAGUAUAAAGCUGAGUGAGGAAAAAUAAUAACUAAAAAGAAAAAGGAUACAGGCAAGAUGACGCUGAGGGUGGACGUUUACAACCAACCACAUUCAGUGCUAUUUACAGGCAGGGCUGGGGGGCUGCCGGCUGGGAAGGAAGGUCUCCACUCCACUGCAGGGCACACUCGCCCAGUACCUCUGAAGAGGGGCAGUGGGCCUGGGAGGCGGGCCCGGCACUAUUAGUGAUGUUUUAUUUCUGAAAAAUAUAUCUGUUGUAAAUGUCACAAAUGUCACAAAAUGUUAAUGAUUAAAAAAAAUGUUAAUGAUUAUUAACUUGGGAUGAUUGUUCCAUGCAAUUAUAUUACUCUGUACAUUUUUAUUGUGUGAAAAUAUUUUGUUUUGAAAAUUAAAAUGAAAAUAAGAAUUAGUAUUUUAAAAAAUGUUAUAUCACAGAAGUAUAAUUUGCUAUUUUCAUUGUUUAUUUAAAAAAAUUCUUAAAAAUUUAUAUCCUUCAUGUCUUUUUUCCUCUCUCCAUUUCCCUACCCU